rnacentral:rRNA from 2 species
CUUUAUUGGAGAGUUUGAUCCUGGCUCAGGACGAACGCUGGCGGCGUGCCUAAUACAUGCAAGUCGAGCGGACUUGAGGGAGCUUGCUCCCAAUGGUCAGCGGCGGACGGGUGAGUAACACGUGGGCAACCUGCCUGUAAGACUGGGAUAACUCCGGGAAACCGGGGCUAAUACCGGAUAAUUCAUUCCCUCACAUGAGGGAAUGCUGAAAGACGGCUUUUGCUGUCACUUACAGAUGGGCCCGCGGCGCAUUAGCUAGUUGGUGAGGUAACGGCUCACCAAGGCCACGAUGCGUAGCCGACCUGAGAGGGUGAUCGGCCACACUGGGACUGAGACACGGCCCAGACUCCUACGGGAGGCAGCAGUAGGGAAUCUUCCGCAAUGGACGAAAGUCUGACGGAGCAACGCCGCGUGAGCGAAGAAGGCCUUCGGGUCGUAAAGCUCUGUUGUCAGGGAAGAACAAGUACCGGAGUAACUGCCGGUACCUUGACGGUACCUGACCAGAAAGCCACGGCUAACUACGUGCCAGCAGCCGCGGUAAUACGUAG